rnacentral:rRNA from 1 species
UACGAAGGGGGCUAGCGUUGUUCGGAAUUACUGGGCGUAAAGCGCGCGCAGGCGGCUCUUCAAGUCAGGUGUGAAAGCCCAGAGCUCAACCUUGGAACUGCCUUUGAGACUGUAGAGCUUGAGUACGGGAGAGGUGAGUGGAAUUCCCAGUGUAGAGGUGAAAUGCGUAGAUAUUGGGAAGAACACCGGUGGCGAAGGCGGCUCACUGGCCCGUUACUGACGCUCAGGCGCGACAGCGUGGGGAUCAAACAGG